GUAAACUAAACUAUGCCAGAUUUGCAUGAGGUUAUUUUGACCAGUGUUUAAGUUGUUGUUGUUGCUAAAGUGUCUGCAGUGGAAAUCAACGGAACGGGAAUAAUAUCGGACGAUCCGGGGCAUGGCCAGCAUUUUGAUAUUGAAGACCACCUGCAGCUCGCCAGAACAGAGCAGCCUACGAGCGCUGGGAGGAAAGAAGAAUCCAGAACAUUCGGAGCACAGUGUCCUCACAUAACCCCUCAUGUAAAUACACCCCCACCGAUCGGAAAGCGGCAUGUCGGAACCUCGGUCUGGAACUGUGCAGCGGUACCUGGAUCCUGGAUCCCAACCUAGUGACGAAACGGAUUUGCCGGCUAAGUGAGCCUAGACCACCGGAGCGUUCAUGGGCGUGUAUCCAGCAGGUCGGAUGCUUAGAGGACCAUCACCAUGCACGAGGAGGAUUACCAGCUCAUCGAACAAAGGUCUCUCCACGAUGUCAACAUCCGGAGUGAAAUCCAAUCGCCAAACUCCUGCCGCAAUUAUCGGUCGUUUGUUGUGGUGCCCCACAGUCGUCGCAGCUAAAUAUUUUGCCAGUGGAUUUUUUAAUUUCAUUUCAUGUAGGGUAUCGCGCCACUUGGGCGGUGGCUUCUAUAUUCGUCUGUUUCCCACUAUAACUCAGUCAAUUUUGAACCAAUUGACUUGAAAUGCUGUACACGAGUAGAUACUACCCGCAUAAACGAUAACCAUAAGAUUUGCUUAACCACCCAUUCGGGAUACAGUUCGAACAGUAUGCGGUAUUGUUGAACCGUCUACAUUACGGUCCGUUUAUUGUGUUGAUUUAUUAGGGUAUACCUAUCUCACCUCAUUCCAAAAAUUGUGUCAAUUGGUUCAAAUUUGACUGAGUUAUAGCGGAAAACAGACGAAAAUAGAAGCCACCGCCCAAGUGGCGCGAUUCCCUAAUAAACUAUGUUUAUUGUUUGUUUUUCAUUUA